rnacentral:rRNA from 1 species
CUUAAGUUCAGCGGGUAUUCCUACCUGAUCC